CACUCCUGAAUGUGGUUGUGGACCUCAUUGGAAGAAGGCAUACUUUCCAGUGUGGAUUAGAUGUGUUGAAAAGUUGGUUUUGCUCUUUCUGAAAAUUUCACUGUCUGGUAUCAGAUCCAUAAACUGUGGGACAGACAUCCCCCAUAUCCAGCCUCUGACCUACAUAUUCGAGAUAUUCAUCUCAGAUCCUGUCUAAGUUACUAAUGAAGUGGGUGACUGUUUCAGUCAGGGCUCCGUAUACCAGCAGGACAUGGCCAACCAUCACAAGAAGCUGAAUAUAUAUAGUGUGUUUGGAAUAUAUUUAUUUUAAUAAAAUGGUCCAGUAGCUCAAAAGUUGAUUUCACUGCUAUCCCUGGUAGUCAUAGAAUAGCCCAUACGAAACCUUCAUGGGACCAGAAGCUGGUAAUGUCUUCAUGUUGAGC